GUUUAAAGAGUCAUCAGUUCAGAGACUGUGACAGUCGAGAUCGAGAACGAGAAAGAAGUGAGACAGAGAAGCACGAUGGAUGAAUUCAGAUGGAUUCAAAUGUUUUCAUGUCUGAUGCUGAUGAUUCGGAUUGCAGCCUUCUCAACAGUAUCUCUAAAUGAAACAUCCAUUUUUAUGAAAGUUGGAGAUGACGUCACUCUGCCUUGUCUAAAUCUGAUAGAUCAGCAGAAUAACUGUGAUGGUACUACGUGGACGUUUGCUUCAAGAAACAAACCAACAACAAUAGAGCUGAUCACACUUGGACAGAUUGGUGAACAUGCCAAAACUAAAUCAGACAGACUGAGUGUUACAGCGAACUGUUCUGUGCUUAUAAAGAAGCUCAAAGUUGAGGAUGUUGGUUUUUAUUCCUGUCAACAAUACAAAGUCAAAGAAACACCAUCUAAACACACUCGGGUUCGUCAGUCUUUCGUUGAUCUCUCUGUUAUUACCUUGACUGAACAUAAGAACAUUGAUAAGGGGAUACUAAACUGCUCUGUGCUGACACAUGGAGAGUGUCAUCACACAGUGAUGUGGCAAAUUAAAGGUAAAGAUGUGGACAAAGAGGACAACGAAAUAGUGACUUCACAGACUGUUUGCUCCACCACAGUGUCCAUUCCAGAGUCUCACUUUCUUUAUUCAUCAAGAUAUAACAUAUUGGCAUGUGAAGUGACUGACAGUAAAAUAGGAAAAGUGCAGCUGUUUACCUUCACUUCUCAGCCAUCAGGUGAAGAAACAGAUUUUUCUGUAUCUUUGAGGUCCAUUAUUAUCUCUGUGGGGUUAGCAGCAACUUUAAUAACUGCUGUGACAGUCAACAUAUGGACAAGGACUAAAGGGAACACGACCAAGAUGGAUAAAACAAUACAUUAUGAUCAAGAUGAAGACGAUGUUACAAUUCAUUAUGAAAACAUCGGGGUUUCUGCUGCUUCAGUCAGAUUCAACUGAUCAACUUCAACUCAGCAGAGGAAAUGGCUUUUAUAUUACCAGUAUCAUCUCAUCCAGUUUUAUAGAUUAAAUCGUAUAAAACAGAUAACGAUGUAAGUCGUUCCCAUUAAGUUCAUUCUGCUCAUCUGCGUGUUUUGUUUUCAGUGGGAGAAAUGUUUCGUCAUUCAUCCAAGUGACUUCUUUAGUCUUCUUCAAUCACUCGGAUAUUUGACGAAACACGUUCCCCCUGAAACCGCUAUGAUCUGAUUGAGCAUGCAUCAAGACCAUAUACAUAGUUGUUUUGUGUUUCAGUAUUCUGACUAUGGAUUUAUAUUUAGGUCUUGAACUUGUAUGAGUUUUAUCACAUCCUGUUCAUCCUGUUCAGACCUUCACUCACAUCUUUGGUUGAAUAGACUUAGAUAGAAGAAGAGGAGUUGAGGAUGUACAAACCGAGGAAUAGGUAGCCAAUAAACCACUUCCCAAUCAACUCUCUUCUAUGUAUAGAAGAGAGUUCUAGUUCCACUCUAAACGUAUCUACCCAUUUGACCUACUUGACCACAGUUUCUCUUUUACAUUCGUUAAUAAACCACAUAAAGAC
ensembl:lncRNA